ACUUGUAACUUGAGUCGUGGAAAUCCGAAUGUGGUUAUUUAUAUCAGAGUAGAUGCUACUGUGACAUGGGCAUGCACUUCACUCCAACGAAGAUGUAAUCCCCAAGGCGGGGUAAAACUUGAGUCACCUACAAAAUGAUUUUUACCAUUUGUCAGAGCAGAAGUUUUUCUAGGGUUGUGCAUGUCGAGCCUGUUUGGCUGUUUAUGAGCAGGCUACACUAUAGUCAAUCAAGCCCUUGCAAGAUAGUAAUGCAUUUUUGCAUUCUAGGGUUACAAUGGCGACUAAUAAACAAGACGACCAUGCAGAUCUGAUAGAGAAGAGACCCACCCCGGUGACCUCCUACAGCCAUGGUCGAUGGCAGCCCCGGCAAGGAGUGGCUCACGGUCACAGGAGAGAAGGAUCUCCGUACCCUACAAAGCUCGCUGGAGACGGAUCCAUAGGAGCGCAACCAGCAGCUCAAGUAGUUUUACCCGUGCAACCAUCCGGCUAAUUCGCUGGACCUGAAGAAUACCGACGAGUCAACGGACACAUGACGUUCCUGCAGGCUCUGCUGCAGGAGCUACAUCAUCCACUCGCAUACUGUACAAUGUUUACUGAGACAACAUCAACAUGGAAUAUUUGUCUGUCAACUCAGUGAAGCACCAACGGAUCAAGGACAUUGAGGUUGAUAUUUGUAUUCUACUCGAAAAAGUUUUUUCAGCAAACACAUCAAGACGUUGGAAGAAAUUGACGUGGUGUAAAAGGAGCUGGCUUUACAGUCUGGCGUUAAGCACUGGGGAGGAGUUCGUUCUU